UACGGGAUGCUUAGGCAUCUAGUGGCGGACGGGUGAGUAACGCGUGAGAAUCUGGCUCCAGGUCGGGGAUAACAGUUGGAAACGACUGCUCAUCCCGGAUGUGCCGAGAGGUGAAAGAUUUAUUGCCUGGAGAUGAGCUCGCGUCUGAUUAGCUAGUUGGUGGUGUAAGGGACCACCAGGGCGUCGAUCAGUAGCUGGUCUGAGAGGAUGAUCAGCCACACUGGGACUGAGACACGGCCCAGACUCCUACGGGAGGCAGCAGUGGGGAAUUUUCCGCAAUGGGCGAAAGCCUGACGGAGUAAUACCGCGUGAGGGAGGAAGGCUCUUGGGUCGUAAACCUCUUUUCUCAAGGAAGAAGAGAGUGACGGUACUUGAGGAAUAAGCAUCGGCUAACUCCGUGCCAGCAGCCGCGGUAAUACGGAGGAUGCAAGCGUUAUCCGGAAUGAUUGGGCGUAAAGGGUUUGCAGGUGGAACUGAAAGUCUGCUGUUAAAGAGUUUGGCUUAACCAAAUAAAAGCGGUGGAAACUUCAGAACUAGAGUGCGGUAGGGGCAAAAGGAAUUCCUGGUGUAGCGGUGAAAUGCGUAGAUAUCAGGAAGAACACCGGUGGCGAAAGCGUUUUGCUAGACCGUAACUGGCACUGAGGGGCGAAAGCUAGGGGAGCGAAUGGGAUUAGAUACCCCAGUAGUCCUAGCCGUAAACGAUGGAUACUAGGCGUGGCUUGUAUCGACCCGAGCCGUGCCGGAGCUAACGCGUUAAGUAUCCCGCCUGGGGAGUACGCACGCAAGUGUGAAACUCAAAGGAAUUGACGGGGGCCCGCACAAGCGGUGGAGUAUGUGGUUUAAUUCGAUGCAACGCGAAGAACCUUACCAAGACUUGACAUCCUGCGAAUCCCGGUGAAAGC
rnacentral:rRNA from 1 species